CCCAGUAACGGCGAGUGAAGCGGCAACAGCUCAAAUUUGAAAUCUGGCCCCCCGCGGGCCCGAGUUGUACUUUGGAGAGGACGCUUCUGGCGCGGCGCCGUCCGAGUUCCCUGGAACGGGACGCCGGAGAGGGUGAGAGCCCCGUACGGGCGGCCGCCUAGCCUCUGCGAAGCUCCUUCGACGAGUCGAGUAGUUUGGGAAUGCUGCUCAAAAUGGGAGGUAAAUUUCUUCUAAAGCUAAAUACCGGCCAGAGACCGAUAGCGCACAAGUAGAGUGAUCGAAAGAUGAAAAGCACUUUGAAAAGAGGGUCAAACAGUACGUGAAAUUGUUGAAAGGGAAGCGCCUGUGGCCAGACUUGCGCCCCGCGGACCACCCGGCGCCUCGCGCGCCGGGGCACGCCAGCGGGGCGCAGGCCAGCAUCGGCUCUCUCGGGGGGACAAAGGCCGCGGGAACGUAGCGCCCUCGCGGCGUAUUAUAGCCCGCGGCGCCAUGCCCCCGGGGGGGCCGAGGACCGCGCUCCGGCAAGGAUGCUGGCGUAAUGGCCACCGGCGACCCGUCUUGAAACACGGACCAAGGAGUCAAGCAUUGGGGCGAGUGUCUGGGUGGCAAGCCCGCACGCGGAAUGAAAGUGAACGCAGGUGGGAGCUUCGGCGCACCACCGACCGAUCCUGAUGUCCUCGGAUGGAUUUGAGUAGGAGCCCCGCCGCUUGGACCCGAAAGAUGGUGAACUAUGCCUGUAUAGGGUGAAGCCAGAGGAAACUCUGGUGGAGGCCCGCAGCGGUUCUGACGUGCAAAUCGAUCGUCAAAUAUGGGCAUGGGGGCGAAAGAC
rnacentral:rRNA from 1 species